rnacentral:rRNA from 1 species
UGGGCCUAAAGCAUCCGUAGCCGGCCGUCUAAGUUUUCGGUUAAAUCUAUGCGCUUAACGUAUAGGCCGCCGAAAAUACUGGACAGCUAGGGAGUGGGAGAGGUACACGGUACUCAAUAGGAAGGGGUAAAAUCCUUUGAUCUAUUGAUGACCACCUGUGGCGAAGGCGGUGUACCAGAACACGUUCGACGGUGAGGGAUGAAAGCUGGGGGAGCAAACCGGAUUAGAUACCCGGGUAGUCCCAGCUGUAAACGAUGCAGACUCGGUGAUGCAUUGGCUUGUGGCCAAUGCAGUGCCGCAGGGAAGCCGUUAAGUCUGCCGCCUGGGAAGUACGUACGCAAGUAUGAAACUUAAAGGAAUUGGCGGGGGAGCACCACAAGGGGUGAAGCCUGCGGUUCAAUUGGAGUCAACGCCAGAAACCUUACCCGGGGCGACAGCAGAAUGAAGGUCAAGCUGAAGACUUUACCAGACAAGCUGAGAGGUGGUGCAUGGCCGUCGCCAGCUCGUGCCGUGAGAUGUCCUGUUAAGUCAGGUAACGAGCGAGACCCCUGCGUCUAGUUGCUACCAUUACUCUCUGGAGUAGUGGAGCGAAUUAGACGGACCGCCACAGUUAAUGUGGAGGAAGGAAGGGGCCACGGCAGGUCAGUAUGCCCCGAAACCCUGGGGCCACACGCGGGCUGCAAUGGUAUUGACAAUGUGUUCCGAAUCCGAAAGGAGGAGGCAAUCAUCAAACGAUACCUCAGUUAUGACUGAGGGCUGUAACUCGCCCUCACGAAUAUGGAAUC